rnacentral:rRNA from 1 species
GACGUAGGGCGCGAGCGUUGUCCGGAUUUAUUGGGUGUAAAGAGCUCGUAGGCGGCUUGUCGCGUCGAAUGUGAAAUUUUAGGGCUCAACCCUGACAUUGCAUUCGAUACGGGCAGGCUUGAGUUCGGUAGGGGAGACUGGAAUUCCUGGUGUAGCGGUGAAAUGCGCAGAUAUCAGGAGGAACACCGGGUGCGAAGGCGGGUCUCUGGGCCGAUACUGACGCUGAGGAGCGAAAGCGUGGGGAGCGAACAGG